UCGGAAUUGCUAGUAAUCGUAGGUCAGCAUACUACGGUGAAUACGUUCCCGGGCCUUGUACACACCGCCCGUCAAACCAUGAGAGUUGGCAACACCCGAAGUCGGUAGUCUAACCGCAAGGAGGACGCCGCCGAAGGUGGGGUUGAUGAUUAGGGUUAAGUCGUAACAAGGUACC
rnacentral:rRNA from 1 species